CCAAGGGAGGGUGAAGCUGAGUAGAGAGGAGGACAAGCUGGAGAGAAGGCAGAGAUAGGAAGAAAGAAAGGAACAAACUUCCAGAGACUGGGGGACAUGGAAGGAGACACUUGAAACAGAGGAGCAUGAGGCAUGACCUUUUCCACUCCAGCUUACAACGGAAACAAGUCAUCCUUCCCUACCCCUUAACUGUGAUCAGUUGUACUCGCUUACUGUCUCUAUGAAUCAUUUGGCAUGGGUGUGUUAUCUUGUAUCUUUUCAUAUCACAUGCAGUACUUGGAAGGUGUCAGUGGAUUGUGAUCAUGCAUAAAAAUGAUAUUUUAGGUGGGGAGAAGUUUGGAGAGAUGAUAUAGGAUGUGAGAGAAGAAAAACUGAAAAAGUUCAAAGAACCAAAGGAUAAAAAUAGAAGA